GCACAUAUGCAACAUAAAGGAUUAGUCCCACAAUUGCAAUAAUGUUAUUCUUUUUCCUGUUGUCUGGAAUCCCAGAAUGGCUGGAGUGAGAAGGGACCUCCGAGUCUAUCUGGCCCAACCCCUGACCAAGCAGGGACACCCAGAGCAGGGUGGCCAGGGUCAUGGCCAGGCAGCUUCUGAAGAUCUCAAAGGAGGAGACCCCGCAGCCUCUCUGGGCAAUCUGUACCGGUGCUCUGUCACAUGCAGAGCACAGAAGUGCUGCCUUGUGUUCAGGGGGAACCUACUGUCCUCCAGUUUGAUGCUGUGUUCUAAGGAGACUCUUUAGUGGCUCAGUGCCAUGUGCACGUUUGUCUCCAUGGUAGGUGCUCACUUUAAGUUCAGGUUGGUGAUAAAGAAAACUCAAAAACCUCUCCGCAAGAGGAUGAUGAAAUGGGAAACCUCAUGCUCCAGUUGCAGGGGUAUGACUGCUCUUGCUGAGUGAAUGGAACAGGG
ensembl:lncRNA